rnacentral:rRNA from 1 species
UACGGGGGGGGCAAGCGUUAAUCGGAAUUACUGGGCGUAAAGCGUGCGCAGGCGGUUUUGUAAGCCAGAUGUGAAAGCCCCGGGCUUAACCUGGGAAUGGCAUUUGGGACUGCAAGGCUAGAGUGUGGCAGAGGAGACUGGAAUUCCUGGUGUAGCAGUGAAAUGCGUAGAUAUCAGGAGGAAUACCGAUGGCGAAGGCAGGUCUCUGGGUUAACACUGACGCUCAUGCACGAAAGCGUGGGGAGCAAACAGG